UACUUCGGGACCAAGCGUUGCUCGGAAUUAUUGGGCGUAAAGCGCGCGUAGGCGGCUUGGCAAGUCGGAUGUGAAAUCCCUUGGCUCAACCAAGGAAGUGCAUCCGAAACUGCCGAGCUUGAGUACUUAAGAGGAUCGCGGAAUUCCCGGUGUAGAGGUGAAAUUCGUAGAUAUCGGGAGGAACACCAGUGGCGAAGGCGGCGAUCUGGGAAGAUACUGACGCUGAGGUGCGAAAGCGUGGGGAGCAAACAGG
rnacentral:rRNA from 1 species